GGUCUCAGGGGUUCUGGGUCCCCAGAAGAUCCAGGACCCCCCUCGCCCUCCCCACAAGAAGCUCCCGGUGCCCGAGACCGCUCGGGACCCCCUGGGCUCCCCCCAGAGUCCCCGGGAGCCCCGAGGCCCCGCCGGACUCCCCUCAGAACAGGCCCCGGGCCCCGCUCCGUCCCCUGCCCUCAAAGCGCCCCCGCUGCCCGGGACCCCUCAGGACUCCCCAGAACCCGCCGGGCACCCCGGGGCGCCACUGGGACGCCCGGAAACCCCGCUCAGAGGUCCCCAGGACACCCCCAGACCCCCAGGACGGCCCCUGGUGCUCCCCGGAGCCCCCCCGGCCCCCCCCAAUCCUGCCCCCCACUCACACGUUCCUAUGGCGACGCGCUGCCCCGCUGGCGCUUCCGGGUGUGUCGCCCCUUGAUGGCGUCACUUUAGGCCGAUGUCCCCGGAAGUGCGGCCCAUCCCCGACAAAGCCACACUCAAGAUGGCGGCCGGCCCCGCCCAUGGGUUGCGCGCGCGGCGCGGGGAGAUGACGUCAGUCCGGCCGUUCGAAUGGCCAAGGCGGGAGCGGGCGGCGAGCGGCGCUCGGCGGGGGCGACCCCGGCGGGCUCGCGGCGCAGCUCCAAGCGCUCGGUGCUCUCGGCCCCCCGGCGGGGCCCGCCCUGGACAUCCCUGACCCUCCUGGGCAGCCCCGACUCUGAGCGACCCCGACGGAGCCCCCGGCUCCAGAGCCACAAGGAGAACGAGCCCUCCCCUGUCCCCCCC